GUCGAAAUUGGAUUUCAUUCGUAAUUUGACCGAGAACGGUUUGUGUCUGGCGUGAAACUAUUGCUGUUGUUACUACGAUUUCUAUUUUAGAAAGAAAAUAGUUUAAAGUGAACCCAAAGUUAGAGUAGUUCUGCAAAUUUGCUGAAAACAGUUGUAAUAAAUUAAUUUUCAGUACUUGGUACAUACACAAAUUUAUCGAUUUGUGUCAGCAAACACAUCGGAUCAGACGACGAAUUCACUAGUAUUGUGUCAGCCAACAUGGCGGACGACGAGCAAUUCUCGCUUUGUUGGAAUAAUUUCAACAGUAAUUUGUCGGCUGGUUUUCAUGAAUCGCUUUGCCGCGGUGACCUGGUGGACGUGACGCUAGCGGCGGAAGGGCAAUUUGUCAAAGCGCACCGUUUAGUUUUGUCUGUAUGCUCACCCUAUUUUCGCAAAAUGUUCACACAAAUGCCGGCCAAUCAACAUGCUUUCGUUUUUCUCAAAGAUGUAUCUCAUACAGCAUUAAAAGAUCUUAUCCAAUUUAUGUACUGUGGAGAAGUAAAUGUAAAGCAAGAAGCUUUACCUGCGUUUAUUAGUACAGCAGAAGCUCUUCAAAUAAAAGGCUUAACAGAUAGCGAUCCUCCACCAUCGCAAUCGCCAGCGGAACCUUCCACACCUUCACCUCAAAUUCAACAGAUAUCUUCGCCUCGAGUUCGCCAACGAACAUCGACAUCUCGAUCGUUUAAAAUAGAAUCUGUUGAUGAUUCUGGAGAUGACAAGCAAACUCAGAUUGUCAUACAAACUACGGCGGCUCCUGCAGCGCAGCAAGUUGUUGCUCAACCGCAAACACAACAUUUGCAGACACAAAGUCAAACGCAUAUAGCACCUCAACAAAUCGCAACCACCACCACCGCCACUACUACAACCGUUGUUACGCAUAAGCGACCAGCGCGAAGUGUUGGAAGUGGGCCCCACAUUAAACGCACCAAAAGUACAAUUGAUCCGCUAGAUACAACUGAUGUGUCGACCGGAACCCAACAAAUAACUGUGCAAACAGCUGUUGUUGCUGCCCCUGCUCCUGAGACUAAAACACAAGUACAGCAACAACAAAGUGAGCCGGAAUAUAUAGACUUGCCAAUAGAGUUACCUACGAAAUCGGAACCAGACUAUGCAGAAGAUGCUGGUGAUGUAGAUGGAGGCGAAAAUGAAACCACUUAUGUAGAAGAUGAUUCUUAUGGAGAGCUUAGAUAUGACGAAAGCUACUUUACCGAAAAUGACGAUACACCUGCAGGUGCGACGACGGUACAAACUGGAACAGGUUCAGGUGGUGGUGUAAAUGCAACAACAUCAAAAGCUUUGGUGAAACAGCAACAAUCAUCAUUCACCGACACCUCGUACGUGGAUGUGGCGGACCAAGGAAACAGUGACGCACAAGGCGCCACAUCGUUUGAGGGUUCCAUAAAUAAUGCUAAAAUUAUGCAUCGGGCUACACUAGAUGUGGAUGAUGCUUCAGACAUCCAUUAUAUUUCUAGCCAAAAAGGACGUACAUUAUUAGUACAUAGAGGAUUUCAUUAUGUGCAUGAAAAGCGAAUACGGAAUAAGGUAUAUUGGAGGUGUACGCAAUAUACAACGCGACGAAAAUGUCACGGUCGUGUACACACUGAAAAUGGGCGCAUUGUACAUACAAGUUUUCACAAUCAUAAUGCGAAUACAUUAAUGGAGAGAAAAUCACAUAUCCGUAGUAAUAACUAAACUGAUACUCAAAGGCACCAAUGUAAAACUAGUCUAGGCCUUUAUAGCUUGGAUGCAGAGUGGGUCGUAACACUUAUAACUGAUAGUUGUGUUACGGAGAAUUUGAAUUAUUUGUAUUGUAUACAAAGCAGCAAAUAUCUAUUUUUAGUAUGUAUUUAUUCUAGAUAUUUGUAAAUCUUAAAGCUUCUGCAAAAAAGUGAGAAUAGUGCAAAUUUAUUAUAUAACAAAAUAGUAAUAAUAUAAUAUAUACAAUAUAUGUAUAUAAUAUGUUUUGUGCCUAAAUUAAAAUAUAAUAUGUAUAUAUUUUUAAUGAUAAUUUCGAAUUACGAAUCAGUGAAGGGAUUUCAGUUUAUUUGUUGUAAAAUAUUAAAGUGAUUAUAUUUCAUAUCGUUAUGGUAUUAUUUGCUGUGUAUAUAAUAAUAUAAAAUAUAUAAAUUUCUCGAAGGGCUAAUAUAUAUAUAUAUAUGUACAGGACACAGAAUUUUUCGCCUUGCAAAAUCAAUUUUCCUGAAUACUCCAGAUUCCCAAUUACAAAAAAACUCAUGAUAACAAUGUUCGUAAAAAUAAUAAUUUAUAGAAAAUAUGAUGUCGAAGUAAGAGGGUGAUGCUACAGGGAAUGUAGUAUAAGUCUAACAAAACGAUGCAAAAUAUUUGUCUUCUUUGUUAUUGACAUGUAAACAAAACCUCGGAACGCGUGUGCUAAUUUGAAGGAAAAAUUGCUGUAUUAACUACUACAAAAAAAAAAAAAAAAAAAAAAUUCUCGAUGUUUGAAUGUAAAAAAGAAGGCGAAGAAAUGGGUUCGAGUGGUACAUAAGUGCAACGAUAUUUGUGGGGUUGUGUUGUGGGAAAAUGGCAUUAACUGCAAUAAUAUGUUUAUCAUCGCAAAAUUGUCCAACAAUAGAUAUAAAUUGAAUAGUACUCAUAAAUCAAAAGCUAUAUAAACAAACAAUAAAUACAAACAUUUAAAGUGUAAAAUAUCGAGGACUGGAUACAAGUACAGUUUACAGUUCAAUUUAUGAUACUAUUGUAUUCUGAUUAUAGCGAAAUCGGUUUAAGGGAUAUAUUGUUUGAUUUUCAAAAAAUGUAACUGAAUUAAUGGCAAAAUAAAAUACAUAUGUUACAUAAA